rnacentral:rRNA from 1 species
AUUGAACGCUGGCGGCAGGCCUAACACAUGCAAGUCGAGCGGAUGAAGGGAGCUUGCUCCUGGAUUCAGCGGCGGACGGGUGAGUAAUGCCUAGGAAUCUGCCUGGUAGUGGGGGAUAACGUCCGGAAACGGGCGCUAAUACCGCAUACGUCCUGAGGGAGAAAGUGGGGGAUCUUCGGACCUCACGCUAUCAGAUGAGCCUAGUUCGGAUUAGCUAGUUGGUGGGGUAAAGGCCUACCAAGGCGACGAUCCGUGACUGGUCUGAGAGGAUGAUCAGUCACACUGGAACUGAGACACGGUCCAGACUCCUACGGGAGGCAGCAGUGGGGAAUAUUGGACCAUGGGCGAAAGCCUGAUCCAGCCAUGCCGCGUGUGUGAAGAAGGUCUUCGGAUUGUAAAGCACUUUAAGUUGGGAGGAAGGGCAGUAAGUUAAUACCUUGCUGUUUUGACGUUACCAACAGAAUAAGCACCGGCUAACUUCGUG